GCAAAACCAAGGGAAAUGCAAUAUAGUUGUGUGUAUGUACUGGUAAUGCUAACCAUCAAGUAUUACUGGACUCAGCUGAAAAAAGCAAAUAUGAGCUAUUCUGUAACUGCCUUCACCAGUUGCUCAUUUUGUAUUGCCCUAGGGCAAGAUUAGUUCCUAGAAGACAUCAUUCUGCAAUAUAACCCCUUCUCACCUUUAAUCUCCCGAGGCCCUUUCCUGCCCCAAAUACCAGGUAAUUUUACUAAAUCAUAAUGCAUUUUGUUAGCAGCAUGGGGAAAGGGACUAAAUGAAUGUUGGAUCAUCUAUUAUGCCAGUGGAUAAAUUACAAAGUGCCAUUUCUCCAAAUCAAAUGCAUUUGCAAAUCAAACCCUGCAGUAGCUGCAAAAAGCAGACAUUGCCUGACUCAUAUUUUACAGUUUCAGUUCUAAAUCUUUAGAAUGCCUUAAAAUGAAUGUAAAAAGACAUAAAUCUUCAGAAUGCCUUAAAAUGAAUGUAAAAAGUCAUAAAUCUUUAGAAUGCCUUUAAUUCCACAAAAACAAUUGUAUAUCUCCUUCCAUGCCAUUCACAGAGAGUAAAGAAAUUUGCUACACUUGCACUAUUCUAUCCUAACAAUUCAUAUCCCUAACAGGCAAAGUAGGAAACAUAUAGGCUUAAUCUAACUGGGAAAUCUAAAUCUAAAUCUUGUAUUUCAGGCAUAGCAGAAUCCAGGAGCUUAAACGAUAUUAUUUAAAUUCAUUCUCUCUCUCUUGUUCACUCACUCUCCUCUGCCUGCCUUUGUUUAAUUUUGCUCUCAGACAGGCUAGCUUCAUGCGUGAUAUGCGUAGAAUUCCUGCAGGAUCGCAUGCCCACCUAGAGAACCAUUCCCUGAGGCCAAGUAUACAGUGGAUUCUGAUUGGCCAGACCUAGGUAAGGAAAGUACCAUUUGGGGUGGGGUUGCGGGUGUUACCUUCCUCACCCAAAUCACAUUACAUUUUGGGAAAGAGGUUGUUUCCAAAAAUUGGGAUACUGAGAGGAUUAAAAAAUAUAUAUUCACUACACUCUUCCUUCCUCCUACUACCAAUUUCUUUAAAAAAGUUUUGGUUUUUGGCCAGGCAUACUGGCUCAUGCCUAUAAUCGCAGCAAUUUGGGAGGCCAAGGUAGGAGGAUCACUUGAGCCCGGGAGUUUGAGAUCAGCCAGGGAAAGGGAAAGGGAAAGGGAGAGAAAGGAAGAGAAAAAAGGGAAAGAAAGAAAGAGAAGGAAGGAAGGAAGGAAAAAAAAUUAGCUGGGCAUGGUGGUGCAUGCCUGUAGAUCCACUGAGGUGGAAGGAUUGCUUGAGCCUGGAAAUUCAAGGCUGCAGUGAGCUGUGAUGGUGCCACUGCACUCCAACCUAAGUGACAGAACAAGGCCCUGUCUCAAAAAAAAUUGUUUUCGCUGUCAUAAUUUUGUCAACCACGCAAGUUAUAAACUAUCUACUCCCCAAUUUUUGCCCCCAAACCCAAUCAGUCAUCAAAUCCUAUCACCUUUUCCUUGAAAGUAAUUCUCAUAUCUGUCAUUUGCUUUUAUUUUCCCUUGCCACCACCUUGAUUUAGACCAGGUUUUCUCAACCUGGGCACUAUUUACAUUGUGGGUCAGGUGACUCUUUUUGGUAGGGUAUUCUCCUGUGCUUUGUAGGAUGUCUCUACUUCAUGGAUGCCAGAAGCACUCUCCCUGGUAUGACAGCCUAAAAUGUCUCCAGACAUUGGAAAUGUCUUAUGGGGGCAAAAUAAUCCACGGGCAUGAGCCACCACACCCAGCUAGUCUUUGUAUUUUUAGUAGAGAUGGGGUUUCACCAUGUUGGCCAGGCUGGUCUUGAACCCCUGACAUCAGUUGAUCUGCCUGCUUUGGCCUCCGAAAGUGCUAGAAUUACAGGCAUGAGCCACUAUGCCUGGCCAAGACCAGAUUCUUUAAUCUGUCAUCUAUAACCAAUCUCACAACCUGUUACUACUCAGCUAAAUUUAAGGGAAUAUUUUCCACUCAGAUUGGACUACCCAUUGUUCCUUGGCUCUGCUUGCAUUUUCGAAGUCAUUGGUUUUGUUGCUCUGUAGGCCAGGAGUGUCUUCUCUCAACUUAGUCUGAGUCAAACUCUCAAACUCCUAUGCAUCCUCUGAAGCUCAGUUCUGGUGCCACCUUUUCUUCUCCUUCAGGAGAUCUUCCUUAUAUCUUCCUUCAUCCUCCCCAGUACACGCUUAUCCCGCUGCUCUCACAUUUUACCGUGCUCUUAUUACAUUUUGGCUUGUCAUUCAUUUGACUCAUAGCACAUGCAGCUUGUACUGUUAUCAUGUAUGAUCUUAGUAAGACCUUAUAAUUCCUACUCAAUUAUAACUUCCUUGAGGGAAGAGAUUGAAAUAUGUGAUACUCUCUCUGACAUCACCACUUAGAUGUGUCUUAAGGCAAGUGAAGUUAAUUUGCCUGUGUUUUUGUUUUUCCAUCUGCUUCAUGGAGACAGUCAUGCCCUUCCUAUCUAUCUCACUUCCUUUUUGAAGAUAAAAUACAUAAGGUGUUUGCAUUUCACAGAGCUACUACAAAGGACUACAGAGUUCUUACGUGAAUCUGCUCAAGAUUUGCUGUGACUUGCUGUAGAAGGUCAGUAUACUUUUGGGAAUGGAUAGGAAAGUGAAAGCGGAAUUAUUCUGAGAAUUAUUCGUGGUUGUGACUGUGUAUAGACCACCCCAGUAUUUUGUGCUUUCACUUGGAUAUUAAGUUGACUAACUUUUUAACAGUCCUAAGGGAAGUAAGAAAAAUGGAGUCAUGGGAAUGGAGAAUGGUGCAGCUACUUUGGAAAACAGUCUGGGAGUUCCUGAAAUAGUUAAGCAUGGAGUUACUACAUGACCCAUCAAUUCCACCCCUAGGUAUCUAUCCAAGAGAAAUGAAAACAUAUAUCCAUACAAAAAUGCAUGCACGCAUGUUUAUAGCAACAUUAACGCAUCUUAGAAUAGAUAGAAACAACUCAAUUGUCAUCAACUGAUGAGCAGUAAUACAACGUGGUGUAUUUACACAGUGGAAUGUUAUUCUGCCAUAAAAAGGAAUGAAGCAGUGAUAACAGGUGACAACGUAGAUUAACCUUGAAAACAUCAUGCUAAGUAAAAGGAGAUAGUCACAAAAGAUCUCACAUUAUAUCAUUUCAUUUAUAUGAAAUGGCCUGAAUAGAUAAACCCCUGGAGACAGAAGAUAGAUUAGUAGUUGCUUGGAAUGGGAGGUGGCAGGGGAAGAUGGGGGACAGAUAGGCAAUAUCUAAAGAGCACAGGGUUUCUUUCUGAGGUGAUAAAAAUGUUCUAAAGUUGACUGUGGGUCCGGCAUGGUGGCUCAUGCCUAUAAUCCCAGCACUUU
rnacentral:lncRNA from 1 species